AGUUUGAUCCUGGCUCAGAUUGAACGCUGGCGGGAUGCUUACACAUGCAAGUCGAACGGCAGCACGGACUUCGGUCUGGUGGCGAGAGUGGCGAACGGGUGAGUAAUGUAUCGGAACGUGCCUAGUAGCGGGGGAUAACUACGCGAAAGCGCUGCAGCUAAUACCGCAUACCGCCCUUCGGGGAAAGCGGGGGACCUUCGGGCCUCGCACUAUUAGAGCGGCCGAUAUCGGAUUAGCUAGUUGCGGGGUAACGGCUCACCAAGGCGACGAUCCGUAGCUGGUUUGAGAGGAUGACCAGCCACACUGGGACUGAGACACGGCCCAGACUCCGCAUGGAGGCAGCAGUGGGGAAUUUUGGACACAAUGGGGGAAACCCUGAUCCAGCCAUCCCGCGUGCGAUGAAGGCUCUCGGGUUGUAAAGCACUUUUGGCAGGGUGAAACGGCACGGGAUAAUACCCCGUGCAACUGACGGUACCUGCAGAAUAAGCACCGGCUAACUACGUGCCAGCAGCCGCGGUAAUACGCAGGGUGCAAGCGUUAAUCGGAAUUACUGGGCGUAAAGCGUGCGCAGGCGGUUCGGAAAGAAAGAUGUGAAAUCCCAGAGCUUAACUUUGGAACUGCAUUUAACUACCGAGCUAGAGUGUGUCAGAGGGAGGUGGAAUUCCGCGUGUAGCAGUGAAAUGCGUAGAUAUGCGGAGGAACACCGAUGGCGAAGGCAGCCUCCUGGGAUAACACUGACGCUCAUGCACGAAAGCGUGGGGAGCAAAACAGGAUUAGAUACCCUGGUAGUCCACGCCCUAAACGAUGUCAACUAGCUGUUGGGGCCUUCGGGCCUUGGUAGCGCAGCUAACGCGUGAAGUUGACCGCCUGGGGAGUACGGUCGCAAGAUUAAAAACUCAAAGGAAUUGACGGGACCCGCACAAGCGGUGGAUGAUGUGAUUAAUUCGAUGCAAUCGCGAGUACCCCCUUUCGUUACGUUAAUAACGUUUACGUCAUUUACCUUUGACAUGUCUGGAAUCCCGAAGAGAUUUGGGAGUGCUCGCAAGAGAACCGGAACACAGGUGCUGCAUGGCUGUCGUCAGCUCGUGUCGUGAGAUGUUGGGUUAAGUCCCGCAACGAGCGCGGCAACCUCUUUGUCAUUAGUUGCUACGAAAGGGCACUCUAUCGACUGCCGGUGACAAACCGAGGAAGGUGGGGAUGACGUCAAGUCCUCAUGGCCCUUAUGGGUAGGGGCUUCACACGUCAUACAAUGGUCGGGACAGAGGGUCGCCAACCCGCGAGGGGGAGCCAAUCCCAGAAACCCGAUCGUAGUCCGGAUCGCAGUCUGCAACUCGACUGCGUGAAGUCGGAAUCGCUAGUAAUCGCGGAUCAGCAUGUCGCGGUGAAUACGUUCCCGGGUCUUGUACACACCGCCCGUCACACCAUGGGAGUGGGUUUUACCAGAAGUAGUUAGCCUAACCGUAAGGAGGGCGAUUACCACGGUAGGAUUCAUGACUGGGGUGAAGUCGUAACAAGAA
rnacentral:rRNA from 1 species